GGUAGUGUAGCUCAGUGGUAGAGCACCUGCCUAGCAGGCCCUGGGUUCAGUUCCCAGCGUUAUGG
rnacentral:tRNA from 1 species